rnacentral:rRNA from 1 species
AAUGAACGCUGGCGGCGCGCCUAAUACAUGCAAGUCGAGCGAGAAGACGUAGCAAUACGUUUGUAAAGCGGCGAACGGGUGAGGAAUACAUGGGUAACCUACCCUCGAGUGGGGAAUAACUAGCCGAAAGGUUAGCUAAUACCGCGUACGCUUCUUGGACUUCGGUUCAGGGAGGAAAGCGAUGCCGAGGGUAUCGCGCUCUUGGAUGGGCUCAUGUCCUAUCAGCUUGUUGGNGAGGUAACGGCUCACCAAGGCUUCGACGGGUAGCUGGUCUGAGAGGACGAUCAGCCACACUGGCACUGCGACACGGGCCAGACUCCUACGGGAGGCAGCAGUAAGGAAUAUUGCGCAAUGGGCGAAAGCCUGACGCAGCGACGCCGCGUGGGGGAGUGAAGGUCUUCGGAUUGUAAA